ACUGCUUUGCCCUCUCUGCUUUUCAUUCUCCCAUCUCCAUCUGCCUUCUACACAUACCUGUCUUUCCUUCAGGUAUUUUCUGUCCCACCAUGCUGUACAUCUGUAUCUUAUCAAGUUCCUCUUUCAAUUCCAGGGUAUCUCUUGUGGCUCUCUGGGCCCUUCUCUCAGAUUUAGGCAAAAUCAUUUGCCAAAUUUUAGUUCACAGAUUAUUGUUCAAAUGUCAAAGUCUUAUGCUCACAUACAUUAGUUCAGGGGAUUUGUAUAAACCCUGAUGUACAGCUUGAUGUAUAGUGAUAAAAGCACAGUACCUGGUGCUUGUGUUAUUCAUUAUGUAAAUUUAUCUGUCUGGAAAUUACAGCAUCAGGCUUGGAUGCUGAGUGAGCUUGAUAUUUGUGAACAAUUUUAUGCUAUGAGCUUUACUCUUCCCCUUUGUCACUGAGGAUGUUUGCAGAGAUUUAAGCAUUGUUUUUAUUUUGGCAGCGGCCAAAUGCUCGGAGCAGGAAGUGACUGCACCCUGAUGGCUGUCAUUUCCCCUCUGUGCGACUCCUGUUUACUGCCAGCUGCUUUCUUACAAACGCAUUGUGGCCUUUGAUACAGCAGGCCCCACCGCUGACUCAGAGCUAGUAAGCCUUCUGUGACUGAUUGUUUGUGCUGUUCUUCACAAGUGAUAAGAGAACUACUCCCUGUGUCUGGGCAGAGAUGGCUGAGUGAAGUCACUUGCUGAAGCCUUCAGCCAUCUCAGAGCACCUGGAGCCUCCAGCUCAGAGAGGCUGCUGCUGUUUUUCAGUGAUCUCCACAGGUGGAGGUUACUUUGUCGUACACAGAGCUAAAGAGUGUUUGUGUUUAUGGAAGGAAUUCCUCUGCGCUAAAUCUGGAAGGUUGGUCUUCAUUAGCAAUGAGGAAGGUAUGUGGACUGAUAGCAUGGGUGAGUAAUCAGCUUCAUUUAGUGUUAAACCUACAGUAGAGGUUAUCUUGGUUAAAAUGUAUUUUAGCAAUGUCCUAUACUGUUUAACAUGGAAGUACUUAACAAUACUAGCAAAACAAAGCCUGUUUGUUAGGUUCAAAUCUAUUUUUCUAUUCUGGUUUAUAGAUUUUGUUUUCAUAUAUUUUACUGGUAAUUCAGAAGGAUUUCUUUUGUGAUGUUUUGAAAUAAUUGAAAACACAGGAUAGGAUGCUAAUGAUGAAGGAAAACAAAUAGUCCAAAACUGAAUCUAGUUAUAGAUGUCUGAGUUGAAGGAAUUGAAUCAACUUUUAAAUGGCAAUUGAGAGCAGAAGACAUUUCAAAUAUUUUCUUGGUGUUAGAUGUAAGACCAGAAAACACUCAUCCAGUUGGCCAUAAUUAUUUUUAGAGCUCCUCAGUUUCUCACCAUUUGUUGAUAGUUACUCACAAUUUGUUGACAAUUAAACAUAUCUGCAUUUCACAAAUUAAUAUCACAAAACUGAGGCUUUUAUGUUGCUCAGCCAAUAUAAUGUCUGUACUCUGGAUAUGGUAGUCCUAAUUCAGAGAGCAAGUCUUAACCAGCAAAGACUAUUAAUGGAUGUGUUUGUGUCAUACUGAAGAUGGUAGAAUGUAAUUUCUUUGUACAUGAGCCUAAAUACAUCAAAUUUUAGGGUGCUAUUUUUUUUUUUAAAUUGUGUUUUUAGGUCUCUGCUUCAAAGAGAGAUGUAUUUUGUCAUCAGUUAAUGUGUGUAUUAUCUUACUGAUCCACAAUCUGAUUAAUGUUUGUCGCGUUCCCAUGAGAUGAAGGGCAUAUAUUAUCCCUGUUUUACAGAUGCAAAGCUGAAGUAUAGAUACAGUAGUGCAAUCUCCACCAGUUUAGUGUUUUCAGUGUGGGAUAGACUACAUGGUUCUGCAACAUGGCUCUGUAUGGCACAGCACCCAUUGGCUUCAGGUGUUGAUGCAGAACCUCAGAACAGAGUCCUGGAGAGGAAAAUGCACGUUUAGAAAGUGUGUGUGGUUGUUGCAAGCCUUGCACAAGGGCAGAAGGGGUGGAUUAUAUUCACCAAAAAAAAAAAAAAAAAAAAAACCCUUCAGCUUUCCAAAGGAGAUUCAGAUCUGAAAAACAAUAAUAAUUUUAUAAAAUUACAGCAUUGGCAAAUUUGGGUUCAUAUCCAAGGAGCAGCAAAAUGUAACUCCACUAUGUACAAGAUAAAUGCUUCUCAAAUUUUAAUUUCUGGCUAGUAGUCUUGGAAGUAGUAAUGUUUUUACAAAUAAAUGUUAUUGUUUGAUGAGAAGGACUCUUCUUGGAAGUGUCAAAUGAUAUUUUGCUGUAAGUUUACAAAGAAAGGUAAAAUAAAACCAAGCAGAGCUUAGACUGAGGUUUGAUAGAUCUAAGCAGCCACUAAAAGACAGUGGGAAGCAGCGAUAAUAAGUGAUGCUAUGGGUUUUUUUCCCUGCCUAUUCACUCACCAUUUCAGCACACUGCAUAUAUGUACGCCAAGGUAUAUUUGCCUGUGUUUGUUGUGCUCUCCAAACAACAGAGUAAUAAGCACACCAAAUACAGUCUAAAUGCACAGUCAUUCUUGCUUUGGUGCCGUGCCUCCAGUCUCUGAAAGUAGCCUGUCAGUCCUGCAGUCUGGUCCUUAACCCAUCACUUUUGGAGACUUGCCAUACAAUCUUUGUUUACUGUAACAAGCAUGGAAAAACUGACUUCCUGACUGUAAUGCAGAAGUCUAAGCUGAAACCACGCACAGGUGAAAAAACAUAGUUCUUCCACUUUGAACUUUUAAUGUGUUUCAUGUAAAAUACCCAUCUAAAACUGGGCAGCCAACAAAAGGAAAUCAGUCCCUUGUCCAAGACCAAACAUUAACUGCAUUAUCAGCAGUUUCACCAAGGAGCUGAUUGUGAUGUGUUUCUGUUUGCUUUUCCCUCUGUAGCAUGAUUUAUAAUCACAAAACUUCAUGGUUUAUUUAAUUUUUUAUGGGUAUGAUACUAAUUUGGUGUGCAACUCUGUACCCUUCAUAAACUUCUAGCCAUUGCAUGUACAGUUCUGAC
ensembl:lncRNA